AUACGGAGGGUCCGAGCGUUAUCCGGAAUCAUUGGGUUUGAAGGGUCCGUAGGCGGGAAUCUAAGUCAGUGGUGAAAUCUUGCAGCUCAACUGUAAAAUUGCCAUUGAUACUGGAUUUCUUGAAUUAGUGUGAAGUGGUUAGAAUGUGUAGUGUAGCGGUGAAAUGCAUAGAUAUUACACAGAAUACCAAUUGCGAAGGCAGAUCACUAACACUAUAUUGACGCUAAGGGACGAAAGCGUGGGGAGCGAACAGGAUUAGAAACCCUAGUAGUCC
rnacentral:rRNA from 1 species